AUGACGCUGGAUGCCCUGUGCGCGGCCGGCGACGUCCUCGUCUACGACACCUUCAACGCGGCGGCGGCCGUGAGUGCCGCGCCGGCCGAGAGCAGCCUCCUCUUCUGCGACGUCGCCGGAGCGGCAUGGAUGGCGGGGUCUGCUGCCGCUGAGGCGCCGGCUGUGACCAUAGUGCCGGUGGAAGAAGGGGAGAAGGCGCAGGGGAGGAGGAAGCGGCGGCGGCGGGCGAGGAGCUGCAAGAAUCGCGAGGACGCCGAGAGCCAGCGGAUGACCCACAUUGCCGUCGAGCGCAACCGCCGCCGCCAGAUGAACGAGUACCUCGCCGUGCUCCGCUCCCUCAUGCCGGAGUCCUACGCCCACCGGGGCGACCAAGCAUCCAUUGUCGGCGGCGCCAUCGAUUUCGUCAAGGAGCUCGAGCAGCUGCUGCAGUCCCUGGAGGCGCAGAAGCGCACGCUCCUCGCCCAGCCGCAGCAGGAGCACAAGCCGCUGCCCAUCCGUGACGCGAUGCCAUCGUCGAGCAAAACGGUCACGGCCGCGGCGACAACUACGACGAGCAGCGGCAGCGGCGAGGGCAAGCAGGCGUCGGCGAUGCGCGAGGGGAUGGGUCCGCCGUUCGCGGGGUUCUUCACGUACCCACAGUACGUGUGUCGCCUCCCGCCGCGGGACGACGCCGACGACCGCGCCGGGGCGGCGGACAUCGAGGUGACGCUGGUGGAGACGCACGCCAACGUCCGGGUGAUGGCGCCGCGGCGGCCGGGGCAGCUGCUCAGGAUGGUCGCCGGGAUGGAGGCGCUCAGGCUCACCGUGCUGCACCUCAACGUCACCACGCUCGGCUCGCUCGCGCUCUACUCCCUCAGCGUCAAGGUGGAGGAAGGGUGCGGGCCGACGACGGCGGACGACAUCGCCGCGGCGGUGCACCAUGUGCUCUGCCUCGUCGACGCCGAGGCGACGUCGCAGCGGCUGCUCGCCGGUGGGCAGCAGGAGAUUUUAAGUUAG
rnacentral:rRNA from 1 species